CGACAUUGUUUGAUGUCUAUCUAAUUGUCGUUCACUUUCAGCAUCGAAAUUCAGUGAAAUACCACCCUCCUUGCACGUGGCCAAGGAUGCGUGUUCAUAUUUGGAAAAGAAACUCACCCCACCCAAACUCCCCUUUCUCUUUCUCUCUCUUAAAAAUCUUCUGCUCUUCUCUCAACCCUAACCCCCAAUAAUUCCCGCCUUUCUCAGCCUCAAAAGUUCUAGAUCUACUUCAAGUUCGAAGAAUUUUCCGCAAUUAGAAGAAAUACAACAAGCUGUAAACAAAAUUCAAACACUUUGAGAUAUUAUGAAUAAUGUGCUUGAUAAUUCAUAACAGAAUGAUGAAAAUGAUGAUACUGAAUCAUAUAUUAUUGUUGGACAAGGUACUUAACUUGUUCUUUUAGUCUUUUCAUUUGUUGUUUUUAUAAUGUUCCGUUAAAAGAACAAAAAAAAAACACGUGCAUAGUUCUCAUUAUGCACUCUUUAAGAAUUUUUCCUUUCUCAUUCUCUGUUAUUUUUUAAUUCUACUUCCUAUUUUUUCAUUUUCUAUUUUUCCGCAACUAUAUAUAUAUAUAAUAAUUGUACUUAAGAAUCAUAACCAUUAGUCAUUUUAUAAAUACAUUUUAUAGAAAGAAAGAGGAGAGGAUUUAUAUUCUCUCAACAUAAGAGAUAUUUUUUGAGAAAGAAAGAGUGAGAUGGUGAGUGAAAGAGUAAAAAAUAUAUUUUCUCCUUAUUCUCUAUCUAAAGCUCCUUCUGAAUGUUUCUCCUUUGUUGAAAAAUGAGUGAAUUAAGAAAAAUACUAGUUCGAUUUGGCUAGUUUUCGAAGCAAGAGAAUAUCUGGAGAGCGUGAUAUUUUCCGAGGAUUGAGAUCAGUUUAAUUUAUUAAAAUAAAAGAUAUUGAUGCUCCUGAUAAAUGUUGAUCAAGUUUUUAAGGUACAUUUCCUUGUUCUUUACUCUAAUGUUCUUUUCAAAUUGUAAUAUUUUUUCACAACUUUACUUUUAUUGUGGCAUUAACAUAGUUUGUUCUUUUAAAUCAACAUAGUUUGUUCUUUUAUAUCAACGUACAUAGAUUGUUAAAAAAAUUACAUAUAAUGGUUUGAAAAGAACACAUAACACUUAAAAAAGAACAUAGUCUGAUUCGUGGUAAAAGAACAAAAAUACUUUUUUAAAAAAUAUAGAUUUAGUUUAAAGUGCAUCAAAAAAUCGUCGUUUCGUCUUUUUUUAAUUAGAACAUAAAAUCGUUUGAAUAGAACAAAUAACACUUAAUAAAAGAACAUAGAUCUGAUGCGUUAGAUAAGAACAAAAAUACAUUUAAAUAAAAAUAAAGAUCUAGUUUUAAGUGCAUCAAAAUAUCGUCGUUUUUGUCUUUUUAAUUAGAACACUAAGUGGUUUGAAAAGAACAAAUACAACUAAUAAAAAAACAUAGAUUUGUUGUUCUUUUCGUCCCUUUCAUUCUGUUCUUUUGUUUGAUAAGGAAAAAGAAAAUGUGUUCAUGUGUUUUGUUCUUUAGCUUGUUCUUUUUAAAAAAAAAAAUUGAAUUUGUGUUAUUUUAUUUUUCUUUUGAUUUUGUUCUUUGUGUUUUCUAAAAAAGUUGUUGUUCUUUUUUUAAUUAUUUUGUGUUCUUUUUAACCUUUUUAAUGUUUUUUAAUUUUUUAUAAUAUUAUCGAUAAUAUGUUUUUUUUUUGUUUUUCUGUUGCAUUUUUCACAUGAUGUUCUUUUUGUAAAAUAGUUGUUCUUUUUAUAGUGUAUCAGGAGAGAGAAUAUGUUAUUUUCAAUUUUGUACAUUUUCUUUAGUUUUUAACAUUAGUGUUCUUUUCAGCUUUUGGUUAAUAAUGUUCUUUUCGUUUACUCUAUUAUGUUCUUUCUGUUUAGUUUCUUAUGUUCUUUUGGUAAUUUUUUUUGGCGUUUUGGUGCAGGUGCACGUAGAUCUACGUGCAGACACCUGCACCAUCCGCGCGUUGCACAAUUACUGCACCAACGAGUAUGGUCAAUCAUGUCUUUCGCGUAUUCUACAAUCGGUAUAGGACUAGCACUCUAUAGUAUUAUCUCUGGGAAUGGAGGGAGGACAACCUUAACAGGAAUAAAGAUAAGUUUGGGUACAUCAGCUGCUGAGAAAACACGGAGGAUGUUAAGAGCGAUUUGACACAUUGCAUUUGCUUACGGGUUUUCUCAAAUCGAUCCUUGUUGACAUACAGGCAAUUAUAUUUCCUUGAUGAACUUCAAUUGUGUUUCGAGAUUACAUUUCAAAUGGAAACUACUAUCUGGAUCACAUUUUAAAAGGAAGCUACUCAUUUUUUGUGAAGACAGAGUAUCCCAUAAGAUUAGGCAGCAAAUUAGUGUUUAGCUUAAAUCCACUGAGGCUAACUGGGAUAAGUAUAUUUGUGGUGUUAGUAAGGAAGGAGAAGGAAGGAGAAUGCAGAAAAGUAGAGGAGGAAUAAGGAAGGGAAGGAAUAAUAAGGAACGAAAAAAUUAUGUGAGCAGUUGGUUUCCUCUCUUCUCACUUAUUCCUUUGUAAUUUCUAUUUUAUGUUAAGCUUGGUCAUAAUCUGCCACCAGCCUGAUUAAUAGGUGUAUUGCUACAAUAACAAGAGAACUAAUAAUUACGCUUAAGAUGUCGACCAAAAAAGAUUUAGAGUAAUAUGUAGUGCAUAUUUCAAAAGAUGGUGACUAAAGUUGAGUGUCCUUCUUUAUGUGUUGUUUAUGUGACUCUGUUUGAAAUUUCUUUCUCAAAUCACAAGACUAAUUUUCUUCUCCGUGUGCUCUAAUAUAUUUGUUUUAUUAGAAAAAGAACAGAGGCUGCAAGUAUAACACUACUAAUAUAAUGCACACAAUUCGAUGAUAAACUUUGGUCCAUCUCAAUUCCCUAAUGGUACGACUUUUCGUUUUCCAUGCCAUACUUCUUUUUUAUGUCUUUAUUUUAUCUAUAUUCUCCAGGGUCUCUGGCCAUUCGAUAUCCUUGUGUUUGCAUCAAAGCCCUCUAUUUAAAUUAGGACCGUUCUCAUUCUUUGGCUACUGAGUUUUAGCACCUAGGUAUGGUACGUUGAACUUUAUUCCCCUUGUGUAUUUGUUACUUGUUUCUCUUAUUUAUUUUGGCACCAGCUUCUGUCCGGCUUACUUUAUCUCCUUAUUUGGUACAUCAAUGUGACUGCCAAGUUGUUCAGAAGUUGCUAUGUGUUAACACUUAACAGUCAGAGUAGAAGAAAUAUAUAUGUCUUUUUGGACUAGAUAGCCUAUCUUUUUGUUAAUGUUUAUUGCUUUGUAGCUUAAAGAAAAGGAGUUUUUAGUAAUUCUAUAAGCAUUAAAGGUAAAUUAAUAAGCCUCUAUUAUUCAUUCAGUUCUCCUUGGCCAGAAGAAAUUCCUAGUGCAGGUCUCCCAGCUAUGAAGAUGACCAAGCGGUUCAACAUCAAAUAGUAAGUGAUAAACGAUGCCUUCUGUUCUGAAGUUUUUCUUUGUGCUAAUGUAACAUUUUGCUUGCUGCAACCAUUACAUUGUUGCUAAGUUGGACCCAAUACAAGGUUGUGAAUGGUACAAGUAGGCCAAGGUUGUAUGUGCUCAUUCAUGGACCUUUUAUUAAUUUAUUAGCUCUAUCUGCAUCAUAUAAUUGUUACUCAGGUCAGAAAACUACUUUAACCUGUAAGGUCAGAAAACAAGUUUCUAUAGCACUGUGUUCUUAGUUGUUUA